rnacentral:tRNA from 1 species
GGUCUCGUAGCUAAGCUGGUGGAGCCUGCGCAUACAAAGCGUAGACAACGUCCAUGCGUGGGUUCGAGUCCCACCGAGGCUC